UGGUCCCUUCGGGGCGCCGAGGAAGGUGCUGCAUGGCUGUCGUCAGCUCGUGCCGUGAGGUGUUGCCUUAAGUGGCGCAACGAGCGCAACCCCUGUGGUCAGUUACCAGCACGUUAUGGUGGGGACUCUGGCCAGACUGCCUACGCAAGUAGUGAGGAAGGUGGGGACGACGUCAAGUCAUCAUGGCCCUUACGUCCAGGGCUGCACACGUGCUACAAUGGAUGAUACAGAAGGCUGCCACCCGGCGACGGGGCGCAAAUCCUUAAAGUCAUUCUCAGUUCGGAUUGGAGUCUGCAACUCGACUCCAUGAAGUUGGAAUCGCUAGUAAUCGCGUAUCAGCAAUGGCGCGGUGAAUACGUUCCCGGGCCUUGUACACACCGCCCGUCAAGCGAUGGAAGUCGGGAGUACCUAAUGUCGGUGGGCCAAUCCGCUUCGGUGGAGGGCAGCUGCCUAGGGUAAGCCUGGCAACUGGCGCUAAGUCGUAACAAGGUAACA
rnacentral:rRNA from 1 species